CAGCAGCCGCGGUAAUACCGGCGGCCCGAGUGGCGGUCACUAUUAUUGGGCUUAAAACGUCCGUAGCCGGGUUGGGAAGUCCUCCGGGAAAUCUGGCCGCUUAAAGGUCAGAAUGCCGGAGGAUACUCCCAGCCUAGGGAGCGGGAGAGGCCGAGGGGAUUCCCGGAGGAGGGGGGAAAUCCUAUAAUCCCGGGAGGACCACCUGUGGCGAAGGCGCUCGGCUGGAACGCGUCCGACGGUGAGGGACGAAGGCCAGGGGAGCAAACCGGAUUAGAUACCCGGGUAGUCCUGGCUGUAAACGAUGCGGACUUUGUGUCGGACAAGCUAUGAGCUUGUCCGGUGCCGGAGGGAAACCGUUAAGUCCGCCGCCUGGGGAGUACGGCCGCAAGGCUGAAACUUAAAGGAAUUGGCGGG
rnacentral:rRNA from 1 species